GACGAACUUUGGCGGCGUGCUUAACACAUGCAAGUCGAACGGUAAGGCUCCAGCUUGCUGGGGUACACGAGUGGCGAACGGGUGAGUAACACGUGGGUGACCUGCCCUGCACUUCGGGAUAAGCCUGGGAAACUGGGUCUAAUACCGGAUAGGACCGCACCGUGAGGGUGUGGUGGAAAGUUUUUUCGGUGUGGGAUGGGCCCGCGGCCUAUCAGCUUGUUGGUGGGGUAAUGGCCUACCAAGGCGGCGACGGGUAGCCGGCCUGAGAGGGUGGACGGCCACAUUGGGACUGAGACACGGCCCAGACUCCUACGGGAGGCAGCAGUGGGGAAUAUUGCACAAUGGGCGGAAGCCUGAUGCAGCGACGCCGCGUGGGGGAUGACAGCCUUCGGGUUGUAAACUCCUUUCACCAUCGACCAAAGGUUUCUGACGGUAGAUGGAGAAAAAACACCGGCUAACUACGUGCCAGCAGCCGCGGUAAUACGUAAGGUGCGAGCGUUGUCCGGAAUUACUGGGCGUAAAAAGCUCGUAAGUGGUUUGUCGCGUCCUCUGUGAAAAUCCGGGGCUUAACUCCGGGCGUGCAGGCGGACGGGCAUAACUUGAGUACUGUAGGGGAGACUGGAAUUCCUGGUGUAGCGGUGAAAUGCGCAGAUAUCAGGAGGAACACCGGUGGCGAAGGCGGGUCUCUGGGCAGUAACUGACGCUGAGGAGCGAAAGCAUGGGGAGCGAACAGGAUUAGAUACCCUGGUAGUCCAUGCCGUAAACGGUGGGCGCUAGGUGUGGGUUUCCUUCCACGGGAUCCGUGCCGUAGCUAACGCAUUAAGCGCCCCGCCUGGGGAGUACGGCCGCAAGGCUAAAACUCAAAGGAAUUGACGGGGGCCCGCACAAGCGGCGGAGCAUGUGGAUUAAUUCGAUGCAACGCGAAGAACCUUACCUGGGCUUGACAUAUACAGGAUCGCGCCAGAGAUGGUGUUUCCCUUGUGGCUUGUAUACAGGUGGUGCAUGGUUGUCGUCAGCUCGUGUCGUGAGAUGUUGGGUUAAGUCCCGCAACGAGCGCAACCCUUGUCUUAUGUUGCCAGCACGUUGUGGUGGGGACUCGUAAGAAACUGCCGGGGUUAACUCGGAGGAAGGUGGGGAUGACGUCAAAUCAUCAUGCCCCUUAUGUCCAGGGCUUCACACAUGCUACAAUGGUCGGUACAGUGGGUUGCCAGUCCGUGAGGGCGAGCUAAUCCCGCAAAGCCGGUCUCAGUUCGGAUCGGGGUCUGCAACUCGACCCCGUGAAGUCGGAGUCGCUAGUAAUCGCAGAUCAGCAACGCUGCGGUGAAUACGUUCCCGGGCCU
rnacentral:rRNA from 1 species